AUGGAUUUUAGAACUAUAUGCAGCAACCUUGAAAAGAAUGGAAAGUAUAUGAUGUCGGAGGAUGUCUAUAAUGAUGUAAAAUACAUUUGGGAGAACUGCUAUAAGUAUAACAAUGAGGCAAGUAAAAAUGAACUUUAUGAAGUACUGGACUACCGGUUCUUGGGAUUGCUCAAUAUGUUCCAAAUGAGAACCUUUUGA